UACAGAGGGUGCUAGCGUUGUUCGGAAUCAUUGGGCGUAAAGGGCGUGUAGGCGGUUUGUUAAGUCAUGUGUGAAAUCCCUCGGCUCAACCGGGGAAGGACGCAUGAAACUGGCAAGCUAGAGUACCAAAGAGGGGGGUGGAAUUCCUGGUGUAGCGGUGAAAUGCGCAGAUAUCAGGAAGAACACCCGUGGCUAAGGCGGUUCUCUAGUACGGUACUGACGCUGAGACGCGAAAGCGUGGGGAGCGAACAGG
rnacentral:rRNA from 1 species